CGUCAGUGUUCAAUUGUUGAUAUGUGCCUGAACUUAUAUCAGCAGUUGUACCACUGAUGUU
rnacentral:pre_miRNA from 1 species